UCCCUGGUGGCUCAGAUGAUAGAGCGUCUGCCGGCAAUGCAGAAGACCCAGGUUCGAUCCCUGGGUCGGGAA
rnacentral:tRNA from 1 species